AACGCGAAGAACCUUACCCAGUCUUGACAUGCAGUGGACGUUAGCAGAAAUGUUAAUUCCCUUCGGGGCCGCUGCACAGGUGCUGCAUGGCUGUCGUCAGCUCGUGCCGUGAGGUGUUGGGUUAAGUCCCGCAACGAGCGCAACCCUUAUCAUUAGUUGCCAACACGUUAAGGUGGGAACUCUAAUGAGACUGCCUGGGUUAACCAGGAGGAAGGUGAGGAUGACGUCAAGUCCGCAUGGCCCUUAUGACUGGGGCUACACACGUGCUACAAUGGUCGGUACAGAGGGCAGCGAAGCCGUGAGGCGGAGCAAAUCCAAAAAGCCGAUCUCAGUUCAGAUUGUAGUCUGCAACUCGACUACAUGAAGACGGAAUUGCUAGUAAUGGCGUGUCAGCAACAACGCCGUGAAUACGUUCCCGGGCCUUGUACACACCGAGUAUA
rnacentral:rRNA from 1 species